CAUCCAGCAGUAUUGUUUCCUUUGGGUCCUGCUCUACAUAGAAGCAAGGAGGUGCUAAGCGAAUCAGUGAGAAUGACGACCCGUAUAGCUCCGGGUGUGGGAGCAAAUCUUCUGGGGCAACACUCAGCGGAGCGCAACCAAGACGCCACCGCCUAUGUUGGCAACCUCGACCCUCAGAUUACUGAAGAGUUGUUAUGGGAGUUGUUUGUUCAAGCAGGUCCAGUAGUCAAUGUUUAUGUCCCCAAGGACAGAGUUACUAAUGCUCAUCAAGGAUACGGUUUUGUGGAAUUCCGAAGUGAAGAAGAUGCUGACUAUGCAAUUAAGGUACUGAAUAUGAUUAAACUUUAUGGGAAACCAAUACGAGUGAAUAAGGCAUCUCAAGAUAAAAAGAGUGUUGAUGUUGGUGCCAACUUGUUUGUUGGGAACCUUGAUCCUGUAAGCAGUAGAUAUCUUUGACAGUAUUUUACAAACUCUUGUGCUAUUCUCAUUCAAAUGUGUCUGGACGUAGACAGUGGAUAACAGCUUUUAUUUAGGAUGUAGAUGAGAAGCUUCUAUACGACACUUUUAGUGCUUUUGGAGUUGUUGUCUCAAAUCCAAAGGUUUAAGUCAUUUCUCUUCUACUUUCAUAUGAUUCAUGAUUCUUCAUUUUGCUGCUUUUAAAGAUGCGUGUCUGGACUUCCUACGUAGUAAAGAAAAAAGAAGAGCUCAAUCUGUAUUGAUUAAUUCUUGCCUAUUUUGUAUCCCUGCUUCAGAUUAUGUUUUUAAAUCCUAACAAUCUGCUAGUGAGUAUUGUAUCCAUACAUCCUCUAACAAACAUCUAGCCCUUGUAAAGUUGAUUCUCUAGGUUCUCUCUUGCCCUUUAUUUUCAUUUUUCAAUUGGGUGGGGGGAGCCCAAAAAAGACAGUUCCUUGAUGGUUGCAAUGUCAUUAAUGAUUGUCCUCCUUACUUAGCGUAGAGAUAUUGACCAAACUGCUAGUGCAUUCCGAUUUAGUUUGAACAUUGAGCCAUUUUUUUCUUCAUUUAAUAAUCAAUAUACAUCUUUCAAAUUACUCGCCCUGGCAAACAUAGCACUAGCAGAUCAUCAAAAAACUGUAGGUGGUUCACUUUUACACCACCUUGCGUUAACAUCUAUCUCUGCAUCACUUAAGACAACUCUCACUACUUUGUUGUCCAUCACGGUACUAAGUGCUUCUGGUAUUAAUAUGAUGAGCAUGCAUCUAAUAUUUGUCUCCUUUCCGUAAAAGCAUUUUGAGAUGUUGAUCCAUUACAUCUAGUACCUAGCCUCAAUGACCUUGUUAGUCUGGCAAAAGCACCUUAACAAUAUAUCUUAUUGUUGUUUCCCACUUGACCUAAAUAUAAAGUCUCUGGUUUUGAAUGUCCUUCGGGAUGAGUGCUAUCAAAGAUGUAUUGAAACUUCUGAAUACUUGACCAUGUUCUAGCAUUGGUGAAAUAGUGGCCAUUUUGAAGCCAUCAAUGGCUAGUUUUUUUCUCCCGCACAGCUUUUAAAUACCUCCCAGACGUGCUAAUUAACCCGGUCUUUAGUUCAUUGCCAGUACUUCUUCUUUCCCUUUUCUUCUUGCUCCUCAAACUUCCCCGAAUGCUUGGUGAAAUCAGGAAGAACUUCAUCCUCCUCCUGAAUGGCUGGCAGCUCAUUUUAUCCUACCCCACCAUCACAACUCUCAUCUUUUUUUGUA